rnacentral:rRNA from 1 species
UACGUAGGGGGCUAGCGUUGUCCGGAAUCAUUGGGCGUAAAGCGCGUGUAGGCGGCCCGGUAAGUCCGCUGUGAAAGUCGGGGGCUCAACCCUCGGAUGCCGGUGGAUACUGUCGGGCUCGAGUACGGAAGAGGCGAGUGGAAUUCCUGGUGUAGCGGUGAAAUGCGCAGAUAUCAGGAGGAACACCAAUUGCGGAGGCAGCUCGCUGGGACGUGACUGACGCUGAGACGCGAAAGCGUGGGGAGCAAACAGG